CCCGGAUUGGUCAUUUUGCUCUUCGCUCACGCCAUUAAAAUUGUGUGCACGCGUGGAAGGAAAAUGUUACGUGUAUCUUGACCCGGCAAAACGGAACACGUACGUAUAGUACCGUGGCGUAGUAAAGACCAGCCUGCGCUGAUACGUGCGUAAGUACGUACGUAUAUAUGCUACGUACAAAAAUGAAAUUGUAUACCUAUAUAUUGAGUACACUUUGACUGAUGUGUAGUCGUACGUUCUCAAAUAAAAAAUUACGUUUAAGCUGCACGCGCGCGAGAGUUUGAGAUCGCGACGCUGUUUUAGCGUCAUAUUGGACUUAAUUUAGAUCUUGUCAAAAUCAAAUUAAUUUAACUAUACUUCAUUAUUUUAGCUUUGCGAAAUAUUGACCGGCCGACGGCAUAUGUACGACAGUAGUGAUUGUACACCAACAUUUUUGUUUGCGUUCGCGGUCUCGUCGACCUCAUAUGUGAAAGAAUCCAAAUUUUUGGUCUGCACGUCUUAAAGUGCAAACCAUUUUUUCUUUCUUUUUGAAGAGUAGCACAAGUAUUCGAUCUUAAAUUUUUGGAGUUCCGUAAACAAACAGAAAACAAUGCUCUUUCCUGUUUUUGUUGCUCAUUAAUUUUGCACCACACUGUUGGGCGGUCUCUUGGGACCCAAAGCUCUUUAUAACCCAUGAAUCCAGAUCUAAGCUCCACAUCUAAUUAAACUCGGUCUCUGAAGCUAGCUACACCAAAGAAGAAGAAGAAGAAGAUCGAAGCUCCACCGCGAUCCGCUCUCGACGACCGGGUCAAGAAAGGCUUGGACUCACUCUAUCGUACGUGGACCGCGUGUUUUCAUUCCGCCAGUCAGCAGUGUUUUGGAGCCCACUCCUCCCAAGUCCCUAUUGGGCUCUCACAAAUACAAGCAAAGCCCAUCUCCUACUUG
rnacentral:lncRNA from 1 species